AGUGAACGCUGGCGGUAGGCCUAACACAUGCAAGUCGAACGGUAACAGGUUAAGCUGACGAGUGGCGAACGGGUGAGUAAUGUAUCGGAACGUGCCCAGUUGUGGGGGAUAACUGCUCGAAAGAGCAGCUAAUACCGCAUACGACCUGAGGGUGAAAGCGGGGGAUCGCAAGACCUCGCGCAAUUGGAGCGGCCGAUAUCAGAUUAGGCAGUUGGUGGGGUAAAGGCUCACCAAGCCGACGAUCUGUAGCUGGUCUGAGAGGACGACCAGCCACACUGGGACUGAGACACGGCCCAGACUCCUACGGGAGGCAGCAGUGGGGAAUUUUGGACAAUGGGCGCAAGCCUGAUCCAGCCAUGCUGCGUGCGGGAAGAAGGCCUCCGGGUUGUAAACCGCUUUUGUCAGGGAAGAAACGCUCUGGGUUAGUACCCUGGGGUAAUGACGGUACCUGAAGAAUAAGCACCGGCUAACUACGUGCCAGCAGCCGCGGUAA
rnacentral:rRNA from 1 species